AGAUUAUCAUGCAGGGGAAAGCUAAUGCGUAUGUAAUUCGUAUAAAUAUUUUAUGUCAACCUUUUGGCUUCUCAACAUCUGAAGAACCGGGAAAUUUUCCUUACACUAUUUUCGGUUCCAUUUUAAAGAAAUAAUACCAAUUUUCGGUUUAUUCCACUUUUUUAUUUGUUAAUAUGAAAUUAUUGAUGGUUUUGCUCGCUUUCUUUUUCAAAGGUGCUGUAUCAUUAUUGAUACGUUUCCUUUACUCCUCUUCUCAAAGAGAUUUUCAUACAGAAGUCAAUACCAAAACAACAGUAUAUAUUCAAAUAUUCUAAUUGCAAGUUCCGGAUUUCCAUUUAUGACUUUUUGUACAAGAGGCCCUAAAAAUUCUUUAAUCCAGAAACCUGUUUUUCUUAAGGUAUCUUUUAACAAAACUCAGUUUCUCCAAUCAAUAUACAAGAACUUAUACCUUGGCAUGGUCGAUCUUUAUUUUGAUCACAUACGAAACCUUUUUCAAAGAUUGUUUUCUGCUUUUGGAAAGUAAGCUAAUAUUGCGAAAUUAUUCAAAAAAACAUUAAAUUUAUUACCGUGUCUUAAUUGAGAUACUACCUAUUUGUUUUCGUCUCAAUCCUUUAGUACUUCUAUUUGCGGCGUGAUAACCUAAAUUAAGGCGCAAUAAAAAGCUAUUUCGUUAAUUCUGUCCACCAGUUAUUUCCGAUUUAGUAUUUGUUUACUAAAUUGUUGUAGACAAAAAGUCCAAGAAUAAAUCAUUCUGCUAAGCUGACCAUUAUUGGGGAUACCGAGUUGAGUAUCUGUAACCCUAUACAUGUCCACAAUCUAUGGAGAUAUUCAAUUCCGGCUUAUUAAAAAUAAUAAUUGAUUUUAAUAAGCAGGAGCUUAUAUAUUGUAAUCUUUGCUCUUAUAUUCAUCUGAAAAAGUUUAUACCCUUCAAUACAAAAAAUCAAAGCCUCGGCUCUUAUAUAUACUAACAUAAUAGAAUAUUACGCUUUCCUUAAUUAAUAAGUUGAUUGAAAAAACACAAAGCAUGAACGCCGUUUUUUGCCCAAGUUGAGACCAUAUUAUGUGAUUUAGAUAUCAUUCAUACACACUUAGAGAAUAUAUAUAUAUAUAUGUUCAGUUAAUUUUUCGUCAACCCUUGGAAUGCCAAAAUUAUCAUCUUUACAUUUAAAAAAUCUCAAUACAAAAAUACAUUCAUAACUUUUCUCAUCGCUUUGAGGGGUUAUUUUAUAGCAUCUCUAAUUAUUAUAUAAUAAUUGAAUGGCCUCUUUUCUCCUAUUUAAUUUUUAUUUUUAUCAUAAAGUACCUACUAUAACCAGCGACAUAAAGAAGCGGUAUAAUAAGAUGGAUUUUGCCCCUAAUAAAUAGCAUCAUCUGAUUCAUAUUAUUGAAAAGUAUAACCAAACACACUGACUUUUUCUCAGAAAACAAAAUAUGUGAUACAUUCUCUAGUGCAAAAGCAACCAUCAGUUUAAUACUGGUGUCUUCCGCCGCAUCCACUGGAAAGCAUGAUUUCCCGUCAAAUCAAACCAUCUUAAUAUAGUUAGCCCGGAAAUUCUUUCUUCGACAAUAACCAAGCUAACAACAAAACUCAUUUGUAUCGUCAUUUUAAUAAAAAUUGAACAAUAACGAUUAUUUCUUUUCAGUUUAUGCUACAAAGCUUAUUUUUCGGGAAACUAACCGAAAUAUUUUCAUUAGUUACCAGAGAAUAUCAACAACAAGAUUUAUCGUUAGCGGAUUAACAAAAUUUAUAAAUAAGCAAAACUCUAUAAAUUUUGAAAGCUUUGUUAUUUAGACUUAUAGCUUGUUUAAAAUUUGAAGCUUUGGUAUUAGAAUAUUUUACCUUUACUUCUUCUCAAUUAAUCUGCAAGUUAAAGAGUAGUUGAACAAAUUGACAAAGACUUAUACUGGCAAAAUCAUCCUAUUAUUUUUUUUAAUACUCAGAAAAAUAGCAACCCUUGUGAAAUAAAGAGUACGGAUAUGUUUUACAAAGACUUUCUUUAGUGUGCUACUUAAUUUUGCUCGCAGGACAUGAUUACUCAUUGGUUUUCAGUAUGCCUUUAUUUCAUGUAGAACCGGCCUAUCUUCGUGCUUUUUUAUUCGACUUUCAUAGUUUAAAUAGCUCGUUUGUCAAAGUGAUCUUUUACACGAAUUCAUAGCUUAGAGGGAAAAAAUAUAUAUAUCUGGAAUCAGGUCACAUAUCAAGGGGUGACGAAAUUUCAAUGCUUCAGCCAACGCUAACUGUCUAAGGUUUGUUAUUACUGGGUACUGCCCUUACGCGCUAUUGACAACGAAAAUUUAUGCUCGCAAGUGUUUUGGAUCCAGUACGCUCUUACGCUAAUAAUUUCAACAAUAUAUCAUGUUAUAAAUAUGCCAUACAAAGAGCAUGUACAUCAAAAAAAAAACGAGGCGAUAGCCGAUUGUGUUUCCACAUGUUUUCCUACCGUAAUACUUACAAAGGCUCUUACUGAUUUAACUCGGUUUGAUCUGACGGUAAACUAAGCUUUUCAGUGGGCAUAGCUGCAGAAACAAUUGGUUUUUGAUAGCGAAAUCUCUUCCAAUGGAGUAGGCUUGGUAAAAUCAGCGAUAGAAAAGAUGCCUCAUAGAGCUUAACCUUAGUUUGGCAAUGUGAAAAAAUAGAGGAUGUAGAGUAAGUAGAAGUUUGGGACCGGUGAAGUACAACUACCCUUAUUGUUCUUUUUACUUAUUCAAUGUGGGGGAGAUAGAUCAAAAAUAUCUUUCAAGUACAAAAAACAAAUCUUUUAUUGGCUGAUCCAAAAAGAGAACGUUUUCGGGUGUGAAUUUUGGUAGACGCGUUACACCUGGUAAAAGGUAACGCAAACGCCUUAAGAGGGAAUCAUGGAGAAGAAAGAAAAAAACUGAAGUAUAACAGGGUGAGAAAAUUACUCUUGCUUUCAGUUUUCAUUGUCAUAAUAAACCAUGCCGGUAUGACAAGUCGACCUUUUGUUUCUUCGUUUUUGAAGCUAAAGUCUCAUUAAAGUUACCGCAGAGAUAACUAAACUGAGGCAGUCAAGCUUUCAUGGUUAUUUUACCUUUUAUCCUUUUAAUGUCGGUUCUUCCAAUCAAGGCGAAGCAGGAUUUGGUAAGUGUAGGAUUUUUCGCCUAAUACUUGGGAACUUGAACUGGGUUUAGAUCUUUGUGAGAGAAGUUUUAUACUACUGAUGAGUUCCAUUACUUUUGUGAUGGAACUUACAAUACGUGAGGAGCCAUUCAACUAUAUAUUUGAGAAACUAGCGAUGUUAAGAAAGUAAGCAAAGUGAAAUAUAGUUCUGGGGUAGAACUGGUCUUAAAAAACACAGCGCUUUAGAAGAUAGUGGUACAAAAAAGUUCCUUAGUCCGCUUCCCAGGAAAUUGACUGUGAAAAAAGUAUCUCAUCAACUUUAAAGCGUUUCAUCCACUAAUACUCGAUAAUUGAUAUACCAAGC
rnacentral:rRNA from 1 species